rnacentral:rRNA from 1 species
UAGGGAAUCUUCGGCAAUGGACGAAAGUCUGACCGAGCAACGCCGCGUGAGUGAAGAAGGUUUUCGGAUCGUAAAACUCUGUUGUUAGAGAAGAACAAGGACGUUAGUAACUGAACGUCCCCUGACGGUAUCUAACCAGAAAGCCACGGCUAACUACGUGCCAGCAGCCGCGGUAAUACGUAGGUGGCAAGCGUUGUCCGGAUUUAUUGGGCGUAAAGCGAGCGCAGGCGGUUUCUUAAGUCUGAUGUGAAAGCCCCCGGCUCAACCGGGGAGGGUCAUUGGAAACUGGGAGACUUGGGUGCAGAAGAGGGGAGUGGAAUUCCAUGUGUAGCGGUGAAAUGCGUAGAUAUAUGGAGGAACACCAGUGGCGAGGGCGGCUCUCUGGUCUGUAACGGACGCUGAGGCUCGAAAGCGUGGGGGGCAAACAGG